rnacentral:rRNA from 1 species
AUGCCAUUGCAGAAAUUCGAGGAGAAGGUUCAGCAGGAGUACAAUCUAAUUCCAAGUAGGAGCAAAUUGGGAAGGGCUAGAAGAGCAUCAGUAAAGCAGAUCAGAGGUGAGGAUGAUGACCAGUAUAAGAUGUUAUGGGAUUAUGGAGAGGAGUUGAGGCAAACAAACCCUGGCAGCAAGUUCUACCUUUGCACAAAGGAGAUUUUUGAUGAAAAGACCAAGGAGACAAAGGAACAUUUUUCAACUUUGUACUGGUCAUUGGAUGCAUGCAAGAGAGGCUGGUUGAUGGGGUGUAGGCCAAUAAUAUUUGUAGAUGGAUGUCACAUUAAGACCAGGUACAAAGGGAAUUUACUAACAGCUGUGGCUAUUGACCCCAAUGAUUGUAUUUUCCCCAUAGCAUUUGGGAUUGUGGAAGUGGAGUCCACUAGCAGCUGGGAGUGGUUUUUGGCUAGCCUAAAGGAUGAUCUCAAUAUAUGCAACACCUCUCCAUACACAAUCAUGAGUGAUAAGCAGAAGGGUCUUAUAGCUGCAGCUGCAAAGGUGUGGCCAGACGCUGAACACAAGUUUUGUGUCAGGCAUAUGUAUCAAAAUUUCCACAAGCUUCACAAGGGGGAACAACUAAAGAACAAUAUGUGGGCCAUUGCAAGGGCUACAGACACUCCAACAUACAACAAAGCAAUGGAGAAGAUGAAGGCAGACAGUGUGCCUGCAUACGAAUGGGUUGAGAAAUGGCCACCAAGAACAUGGAUUAAAGCUUUUUUUAAUCCUUUUCCAAAGUGUGACAUCCUGCUAAAUAACAUGUCUGAAGUAUUUAACAGUUGGAUUUUGCCAGCCAGAGAACUUCCUAUUUACUCGAUGGUUGAAAACAUAAACAGCAAGAUCACAGCAAGGAUAUACAGCAAGCAGAUGGAAGUUGCAGAAGAUAGGAAAUGGAGUAUGAGAUUGUGCCCAAAAAUUCAGAAAAAAUUGGACAAGUACACUGAUUGGGCUGCAAACUGCAUGGUCUUUGGAGCUGGUCAGAAGGUUUUCAAGGUUGUGUCAAUGAACCACUCCUACAUAGUGGACUUGGAAAUGGAAACCUGUAACUGCAAGAGAUGGGACUUGUCUGGCAUUCCAUGUCACCAUGCUAUUGCUUGUGCUAGAAAUGAGAGAAUUGACCCUGCAAGCCUAGUGCAUGAUUGUUAUUCAGUAGGGACAUACAAAAGGGCUUAUGCUUUUAAUGUAAAACCAGUGAGGGACCAGGAACAUUGGACUAAGAUGCAUGGCAUUGCUGUAUAUCCACCAGUGUACACUAAGGUAAUGGGGAGACCAAGGAGGAAUAGAAAGAAAGAUCCAGAGGAGAAGUUGAUGAAAGAAGGAGGGAAAAAGUUGACAAAGCAUGGUGUAACCAUGCACUGCUCCCUUUGUGGAAGUGCAGACCACAACAAGAAAGGACACAAGAAGUGGGAGGAGACCACAAGAGAUGCUCCUCAACCUGCAAAUGUUGCAGAUGAUGAAGAAGAAGAGUAUGAUGAUCCUAUAAUCAUUUCUAACAUACUGCCACACACAGUCCAUCCACACAUGGAUCCAAGUCAAACCCCAGGGUCCAUGGUUUCCUCAUGCAGCAAAUGGAGAGGAGAGCGUACCAACCAAGUAUGGAUCAUGGACCUCUUCCAGAAUCAACAUUUGUUGCACAAGCAAGAAAUGACAUACCCCCUCCUAGGGUUACGACUGCUAUGUCAAGAGGUAGGGUUAGAAGAAGAGGAGUCACUGAAGACAUUCCAGAAGAUGUACCACAGUCAAGCAACCAAGCUGGAAUUUCAAGAGGAAGAAAGAGAAGAUCCACUGGAGCUGGUGGAGCAGCAGCUGGCAGGGGAGGCAGAGGAUCUAGAGAAGCAACUGGUAGGGGAGGAAGAGGUUUUGGAGCUAGUGGAGCAUCUAGCAGGGGAGGCAGGGGAGCUAGGGGAGCGGCUGGCAGGAGAGGUAGAGGAUCUGUACAGCAGACAAGCAACCAAGCAGCUGGAAGAGGAGCAGGGGAAGCAUAUACUGGACCAGGUGCUGAGGAAGCAUAUACUGGACCAGGUGCUGGGUUCUGGAACCUUAUGUUUGGACCAAAUUCAGAGAGUUCCUAUGUGCAAGCUGAAGAGGAGCCAGUGA